rnacentral:rRNA from 1 species
CGGAGAGGCAAGCGGAAUUCCUAGUGUAGCGGUGAAAUGCGUAGAUAUUAGGAGGAACACCAGUGGCGAAGGCGGCUUGCUGGACGACAACUGACGCUGAGGCGCGAAAGCGUGGGGAGCAAACAGGAUUAGAUACCCUGGUAGUCCACGCUGUAAACGAUGAAUACUAGGUGUGGGAGGACUGACCCCUUCCGUGCCGCAGUUAACACAAUAAGUAUUCCACCUGGGGAGUACGACCGCAAGGUUGAAACUC